ACGCUCGACACCUACGGGAGGCAGCAGUGAGGAAUAUUGGUCAAUGGGCGCAGGCCUGAACCAGCCAAGUAGCGUGAAGGAUGACUGCCCUAUGGGUUGUAAACUUCUUUUAUAUGGGAAUAAAGUUUUCCACGUGUGGAAUUUUGUAUGUACCAUAUGAAUAAGGAUCGGCUAACUCCGUGCCAUCAGCCGCGGUAAUCUGAGCGGGCUGGCAAGGC
rnacentral:rRNA from 1 species